rnacentral:rRNA from 1 species
UGGGGAAUUUUGCACAAUGGGGGAAACCCUGAUGCAGCGACGCCGCGUGAUUUAGAAGGCCUUCGGGUUGUAAAAAUCUUUUCUAUGGGAAGAAAAUGACAGUACCAUAGGAAUAAGGACCGGCUAAUUACGUGCCAGCAGCCGCGGUAAUACGUAAGGUCCGAGCGUUGUCCGGAAUCAUUGGGCGUAAAGGGUACGUAGGCGGGCAAGCAAGUUAGAAGUGAAAUCCUAUAGCUCAACUAUAGUAAGCUUUUAAAACUGCUCAUCUUGAGGUAUGGAAGGGAAAGUGGAAUUCCUAGUGUAGCGGUGAAAUGCGCAGAUAUUAGGAGGAAUACCGGUGGCGAAGGCGACCUUCUGGCCAUAACCUGACGCUGAGGUACGAAAGCGUGGGUAGCAAACAGG